AUUGAACGCUAGCGGGAUGCUUUACACGUGCAAGUCGAACGGCAGCGCGGACUUCGGUCUGGCGGCGAGUGGCGAACGGGUGAGUAAUGUAUCGGAACGUGCCCAGUAGCGGGGGAUAACUACGCGAAGGCGUAGCUAAUACCGCAUACGCCCUACGGGGGAAAGCAGGGGAUCGUAAGACCUUGCACUAUUGGAGCGGCCGAUAUCGGAUUAGCUAGUUGGUGAGGUAACGGCUCACCAAGGCGACGAUCCGUAGCUGGUUUGAGAGGACGACCAGCCACACUGGGACUGAGACACGGCCCAGACUCCUACGGGAGGCAGCAGUGGGGAAUUUUGGACAAUGGGGGCAACCCUGAUCCAGCCAUCCCGCGUGUGCGAUGAAGGCCUUCGGGUUGUAAAGCACUUUUGGCAGGAAAGAAACGUCGCGGGCUAAUACCCCGUGGAACUGACGGUACCUGCAGAAUAAGCACCGGCUAACUACGUG
rnacentral:rRNA from 1 species